GAUGAACGCUAGCUACAGGCUUAACACAUGCAAGUCGAGGGGAAACGAUAGAGAAAGCUUGCUUUCUCUAGGCGUCGACCGGCGCACGGGUGAGUAACGCGUAUCCAACCUGCCCAUCACUUGGGGAUAACCUUGCGAAAGUAAGACUAAUACCCAAUGACGUCUCUAGAAGACAUCUGAAAGAGAUUAAAGAUUUAUCGGUGAUGGAUGGGGAUGCGUCUGAUUAGCUUGUUGGCGGGGUAACGGCCCACCAAGGCGACGAUCAGUAGGGGUUCGUGGAGGAAGGUACCCCACAUUGGAACUGAGACACGGUCCAAACUCCUACGGGAGGCAGCAGUGAGGAAUAUUGGUCAAUGGGCGAGAGCCUGAACCAGCAAAGUAGCGUGCAGGAUGACGGCCCUAUGGGUUGUAAACUGCUUUUGUAAGGGAAUAAAGUGAGUCUCGUGAGACUUUUUGCAUGUACCUUACGAAUAAGGACCGGCUAAUUCCGUGCCAGCAGCCGCCGUAA
rnacentral:rRNA from 1 species